rnacentral:rRNA from 1 species
UACGGCGGUCAUGGCGAGAGGGAAACGCCCGGUCUCAUUCCGAACCCGGAAGCUAAGCCUCUCAGCGCCGAUGGUACUUCCCGAAACGGGGUCACAGCUACGGCUGUGG